rfam:Ictidomys tridecemlineatus contig053802, whole genome shotgun sequence.
GGGGUUGUAGCUCAGUGGUAGAGCACUUGCCUCACAUUUGUGAGGUACUGGGUUCGAUUCCCAGCACCA